UAGUAAUUAGUUUAAAAUAAAACAAAUGAUUUCGACUCAUUAGAUUGUGAUACAUUUCACAAUUACUA
rnacentral:tRNA from 1 species